GUGAUUGUGUCCUUGAUAUUGUAAGAGGCGAACACGCCCGAGAAGGUUUUGAGAUCGUUUAUGAAUGAUUUUUUUAAUACAUAUUUAAAAUGUUUUUAAACAUAAUAGCUGGUUUCUAGAAGGACAUUUAGCCGACCUACUCUAAAAGACAUUUUUAAUAUCCACCUGCAAUACGUCUAUAGGUGACGUUUUCUAACAGAUUUCAAAUAGAUGUUUAAAAAAAUGCCUUUAAGAUGUUUAUGAUUUAGAAUGCAUGUAAACCUGACAUCUUAAAGACGUCUAUCAGAUGUUUGUACACAGCAGAUGCUUUCCAGAUGAAGCGAUGUUUAACAGACCUCUUGCAGAUGUACGCGUGCUAUAUCUGGGAUUGUACAUGAAUUGAUAAAAGUUGGUUUGUGGCCUAAAAAUCUACAUUAGAUCCGUAAAUAGAAACAUGGAAAGUUUUUACGCCAUAAACACACCGAGGCGAAAGCAUCUUUGCUCAGAGGAGUUUGCUGAUAAAACAAGGACAAAAACAAAUCAGUUGCAAAAUAAAGCCACAUUUGCAUGUAAAUGCCAAGUGAGAUGGUAACACGAUGAGUAAAUCACGCUUUAUUGACAAUCUAGUACAACAUAGUGGUUCAUUAUUGAAAGGGAAUCAAUAAGGACCGGUCAACAAUGUUACAAACGCGUCUGAAAUAUAAAAACAACAAACCUACAGUCAAGAGCGUCAACGUGUUCAGCCGAAGCCCCGCCCCCUGUUCAAUCUAUAGGCGGACCGGGCUUCAUAUAUAACGUGAAGGAACAUUGUGUGCACUCAGGUUUGUGGCACUUUCACCUCACGGCGGUUCGUAGCAUCAGGUUCACUCUUUGGCGUUACACAACCUUCAGGAGAUUUGUCUUAAGCUGUGUCGUGCGCAAAUAUCGCAGCGAUGAUCAUCAGACUCGGCAGACUGACUCCUGGAUACUUCCGUCUCCUGCAGGUGUGUAUUUGAUCAAAUCUUUUAACUUGGUUCAAUCUGUGAAUAAUAAUAAUAACUUUUAAAAGUUUUUUUUUUUUUUUUUUUUUUUUUAAUCGAUCAUAUGAUGAGGAACCAAAUUAUUUCAAAUCUUUGGAGAUAAAAGCAUUUAUUGUACUAUGACAGCAUAUUGUAGCUUUCAGAACACAACUUCCUUCCAAGUGAAAAACUGCUUUUUUUUUUUUUUUUUUUUUUUUUUUUUUUUUUUUAACUCUGUGUCAUUAGAUAUUAGUCUGACGGAUUAAUAGUUUCAGCUGUUGUACUGCUGUACAUUACCUGCUCAUUUAAAAAAAAAAAAAAAAAAAAGUCUCAUUCAGCAAAAAUGUUCCUAUGUAAAACAUUACACGCACCUCAGAACGAGCAGACGGAACACAAUGAAUGCGGUUAUUGCUUUCGGAGCUGGAUGCUGCUGUUUGGGAAUGCAGUCGAAUGCAGUCAGUUCUGAGAGGCAAUUAUACAGAAAUACUUUGAUGACAGACUUUGCUCGGGCAUUUCAGAAUGACCAUAU
ensembl:lncRNA